rnacentral:SRP_RNA from 1 species
GCCGGGCAUGGUGGCGCAUGCCUGUAAUCCCAGCUGCUUGGGAGGCUGAGGCAGGAGAAUUGCUUGAACGUGGGAGUUGGAGGUUGUGGUGAGCCGAGAUCAUGCCAUUGCACUCCAUCCUGGGCAACAAGAGCGAAACUCUGUCUCAAAAAUAAAUAAAUUAAUUAAAUAAAUAUAAAUAAAAACUGGUUGAAUACAGGCAUUUCAUGUGGUUCAAUCUUUUUUCUUUCUAUUUUUUGGAACAAGGUCUUGCUCUGUCGCCCAGGCUGGAGUGCAGUGGUGCGAUCUCAGCCCACUGUAACCUCCGCCUCCCAGGUUCAAGCCAUUCUCCUGCCUUAG